CCAGCGACAACGAUAUUUAUCUCAUCGAAACAAAAAUAUCUGCCGGUAUCCUGCAUGUUGUACUGUUGUGGAAGCAAGGACAAGGAGAAGCAGCGCCCGGACGCUGCAGAGGUGUCGAGAAUUCUAGAGACAGAGACAGAUAAAAACCGAAAGAGCCAAGAAAGCGCACCUCAACCACUGGACAUGUACGGAAUAGCGGCAAUGCCCGAGCUUCUACCACCCUCUGGCGUACUUCAGCCCAGCUCAGUAAUCCCACUCGAGUCGGAUGAGGUGCCUGGUUUGUGGAAUGGAUUCAACAGGGGUGUGCUGAGUUUUGACUCCCCCCAGCGGAGACGAGGCCAACGGGCCCCGAAGUUAGGGCAAAUAGGACGGUCGAAGAGAGUGGUUAUAGAGGAUGACGACUUGGAUGAUGUCAUGAAACACAAUGGCCUCCCCAUAUCAAUCAAUAUCUCUCCUGUUGCCUGAACAACUCUGAUAGUGUCCAGACCUCAAGAGGCUAUUGUGCUCAUUUGUGAAAUUCUGAAGUGUGUACCACUUGUUUCUGGACAAUGUCCAAUUCAGGUGCCCAUUGCAAAGUUUACAAUAGUAGCAUGCGCAUCACAUGUAGUUUAGCUCUUCCUGGACACAGGAAGGUCAGUGUCCCAAGGAAAUAGAAGUAAAAAACAGUGCAUCUUUGCUUCAGCUGCUGUUCUGGUGUUGAAGGGGGGACUUUGUGUCCUGAGGAGAGGGGAGCAAUUAGGAUAGAUUUGGGUCCGGACAGGCUGAAACAUAAGCACACAAGAGAAGGCCCUACCCAUCAAGACCUGCCCCUUCAAAAUGAGUGGACCUGUUUGUUUGUUGUUCAGUCUUUAGUGUCUAUAUUUUAAACACUCCAUCCAAGAUGUUAUUUUAAUUUGUGUCAAUCCAACCUAUAUCUAACUGAGAAAACAGCUACUCAUAGUGCUGGGCAGUGUUUUCACAAUAUUAUUUAUUUUACAUUAUGUACGCUUUUUCAGUGUUUCACAUAUGUUAACACUUAUUUUAGUUUUUGACAGUUGACAACGCUGUCUCGUUUUGGUGCAAACUGUAAAAUCUGUUGUAAAACGUGUUAGAUAAACUGAAGGCUUUAAUUUGCAUUGUAACAUGUCAUAAUCAUUGUCUUAGUAUAACAUAUGUUGUACUGUAUGUUACUUUUACCCCUGAGUUGCUAGACAAAAAGAGUUCCCACUGUGAACUAUUUAUGGAACUUUAUGUAUCCCUGCAUCGAGGUGUAAUAUACACAUUUUUUACAACCAGCUUCCUGUUAUAUUCUUCACCAUAAUGCCACAUCUGUUAGAAAAGUAAUGUGGCAUUCAGAUAAGUAGCCUAACUUAUGUUAAACCCAGCUAUGAAGCAGGUCGCUACAUGGAGGAGCAAGUCAAGGAAAUUGGUGUAAGACUCACCGAGCUGUGAGGAAUACAUUGUUUUGAUGUAACCAUUGUUCAGUUUGGCUCAGUCUUAUCUUUGUCAAGAUUAAUAGAUGUAAAGUUAUAAAAUCUACCCCUCACUAGAGAUAUACAAGCAGGGUUUAGCUUAAAUCAAUUCACUUGUCAAGAACGGGUUUUCUAAAUCCUCCUUGAAUCUACUUGUUAGUUUUCCCCAACCCUUUUCAGUUGUCAAAUCACAUUUUGUGCCAAACACAACUUACAAGCCCUUAACCAACCAUGCAGUUUAAAAAAAAUAGAGUUAAGAAAAAAUGUAAGAAAUUAUUGUACCAAGCGAAUUUUGCUCUGCCCGGAGUACCCCUGACAUAUCCCUUCAUGUGCAUUAUACCAGUAGGACUAUUAUCUCAUGAGUCUUCAAGUACCCUCUGUCAAGUAACCCUGUUUGGAAACCACUGUUAGAAUGUGAUCCGCUGUUGUGUAAUGAUAGUAUGCACCACCAGAUAGCGAUAAAGUCAAAGGAACAUAGUCCUCAGCCCAAAAUCUGUGUCUUACUCAACCCCUCAGUCUGUUAUUCAUUUGAAAUAAAACCUGUUAGUCUUUGGAACCUAUGCAAAGUCACAGGCUCACAGUUGAAGACAAAGAGAACAUUUCAAAAACAGUCCGUACCUCACUGAUUUGAGAGAACUUAAUGUACAUUGUUAGAGUCCCCUGCCUGUGAGCUUUAUAGCUUCAUGCAGCUCAUUCCACCCAUCCCCCAAACAUGCCAGAGAGACUAAGGGGGGGGGACAGUGGGUUACUGCCUUGCUUAGGAGCCAAACAGAUUUUUAGCUUGUCAGCUCAGGGAUUUGAUCCAGCAACCUUUGGUUACUGGCCCAACUCUACCCGCCAGGCUACCAGACCAUGUUCGAGGGGAUCUAAACCAUUUUGCCUAGAUAAUGUAUCAAGUAAAAUUGUGACUCACUGACCUACAAAUAAUUAUAAGUCGUUAUUUAUGAUGCAAGGUGAUUUGUAGAUCAGUCAGUUGGCAAUGGCCUGCACUGUUGGCUGCAAUGUGAAACAAGCCCCAUGAGGAUCAUAAAGACUGGGUUCCAGAGCUUAGACAUUGCUGCACCUAACAGGUCUUCAACUCCUGGUUAGGUAUUUUAAGUAUCAGCUAACUACAUCCUAGGCGUCUUCUCUGACCAGGCGUUGCGGACGCCGGCUAGGUCUUAAAACACCUGGAUAGCAAUCUCAGUCGAUGACGUGGCA
rnacentral:lncRNA from 1 species